CGUACACUCCUGCGGGAGGCAGCAGUGGGGAAUUUUACGCAAUGGGGGAAACCCUGACGUAGCGACACCGCGUGAGCGAAGAAGCCCUUUGGGGUGUAAAGCUCUGUCAGCUGGAACGAAAACAAUGACGGUACCAGCAGAGGAAGCAUCGGCUAACUACGUGCCAGCAGCCGCGGUAAGACGUAGGAUGCGAGCGUUGUCCGGAUUUAUUGGGCGUAAAGAGUUCGUAGGUGGUUUGUUAAGUUUGGUGUUAAAGAUCGGGGCUCAACCCUGGACUGCACUGAAUACUGGCAGACUCGAGUGUGGUAGAGGCUAGUGGAAUUCCCAGUGUAGCGGUGAAAUGCGUAGAUAUUGGGAAGAACACCGGUGGCGUAGGCGACUAGCUGGGCCAUAACUGACGCUGAGGAACGAAAGCCAGGGGAGCGAAUGGGAUUAGAAACCCCUGUAGUCCCAUGA
rnacentral:rRNA from 1 species